rnacentral:rRNA from 1 species
UACGUAGGGUGCAAGCGUUGUCCGGAAUUAUUGGGCGUAAAGAGCGUGUAGGCGGCUCGAUUAGUCCGCUGUGAAAGUCCAGGGCUCAACCCUGGAAUGCCGGUGGAUACUGUCGAGCUAGAGUCCGGAAGGGGCGAGUGGAAUUCCUGGUGUAGCGGUGAAAUGCGCAGAUAUCAGGAGGAACACCGGUGGUGUAGACGGCUUACUGGACCACGACUGACACUGAGGCACGAAAGCGUGGGUAGCAAACAGG